GCGGCGGUGCUGCAGCCCGUGUUCCACUGAAUUCAGCGUAGUGAGGAGCCUCCCGCCGCCCCACCCGCACCUCUCGGCUGCAGCAUAGCCGGUUGGGGUGUGUCAGGUGAGCAGUGCUCCCUCCCACUCUUCAGUCGGGUUUACAAACCCCGCAGCCAGCGUGGAAUUCCUGCACUGUCAUUGCUGUCCCGCCCCCCCGCCGACUCCCGAUUUCGACUGAACGGCGGUCACCCGCCUACACCGACACUUCACCCGUGCCAAGACGGAAACGGGCCGCCCCGCCGCAAAAGAGGCUUUGUGCAGCCCGUGUCCGGAGAGUCACUGCCGUCCCGGAUUUCUGGGCUCUCUGCUUUGCAAUCUCACGUGGCGCCGUGUUCCUCAGUCUUGGCCCCACCUCUGAAGCAGGUUUUCCCAGCCCCUGAGCCGCUGCGUGAUGGAAAAAGUAUUGACGGGGCUUGCUUUAAUAAUAGUCUCGAUUUUUCGUAUGAGAUGCUCCGCGUGAGAUUUGGCAAGAGCAGCUAGGGCCUGCAUGUGAAACUCCAAACUAAUACAUCCAACUGCUUAUUCCACAUCUUCACUUGGAUACCUAAUAGCACAUUUCAAAUUCAACAUGUUCCAAGGACAACAGCUGAUGCCACCAGAGUACAGCACAGGGAUCUGAGGGCUAGGGGUGACUUUGGUGUCCGGAUUUGGAGUGCGCAGGAACCAGCUAAAGCUGUUUGCUGUAACUAAACCUACUACAGCAACUUUCCAUUUAGAGCAUCUGCCCUGCAAGCAGACAGACUGAAAUUCCCUAUAGGAAAGAGCUGAGGAAGAUGGAGGGAUGAGAGCUGUUGGGGGAAGGUGGGCACCCUGGAUGUCAGACUUGACUCAGAAUUCAGCUUAUUAUUUAUUGCCUGCUGAGAGAACAGACCCUGGCUGGACCAAAGCAGGAAUUUAAUUUUGCACCCAUGGGAAAAUGUCUACAGCAGUUCCUUGGAUAGGGUCAAGGCCAUCAAAAUGGAUAUCCACCUUUCACCACCCAUUGGAGAGACCAAAACUACAACACUGAACAUCUCUUGCUGUGCCUUUGUCCUACUUAGCCCAACAGGCUUCUCCAGAUCACAUAGGAUAGUUCUUUCUGUUGUAUGUAGGGGCCCAUGUUUCCAUCAACGGCCCAUUAUUACUAAUUAAGUCAAUGCAGCAGAGCCAGAAAAUGAGAGACACCAGGGAUAGUCCUAUAUUUUAAACUCCUGACAACAUUUUUUUGUGUGUGAAGGA